rnacentral:rRNA from 1 species
UACGAAGGGGGCUAGCGUUGCUCGGAAUCACUGGGCGUAAAGCGUGCGCAGGCGGUUUUGUAAGCCAGAUGUGAAAUCCCCGGGCUUAACCUGGGAAUGGCAUUUGGGACUGCAAGGCUGGAGUUUGGCAGAGGAGACUGGAAUUCCUGGUGUAGCAGUGAAAUGCGUAGAUAUCAGGAGGAACACCGAUGGCGAAGGCAGGUCUCUGGGCUGAAACUGACGCUCAUGCACGAAAGCGUGGGGAGCAAACAGG